UUGCACGCUGGCGGCAUGCUUUACCCAUGCAAGUCGAACGGCAGCGCGGGCUUCGGCCUGGCGGCGAGUGGCGAACGGGUGAGUAAUGCAUUGGAACGUGCCCAGUAGUGGGGGAUAGCCCGGCGAAAGCCGGAUUAAUACCGCAUACGACCUGAGGGUGAAAGCGGGGGACCGAAAGGCCUCGCGCUAUUGGAGCGGCCGAUGUCGGAUUAGCUAGUUGGUGGGGUAAAGGCUUACCAAGGCGACGAUCCGUAGCUGGUCUGAGAGGACGACCAGCCACACUGGGACUGAGACACGGCCCAGACUCCUACGGGAGGCAGCAGUGGGGAAUUUUGGACAAUGGGGGCAACCCUGAUCCAGCCAUGCCGCGUGCGGGAAGAAGGCCUUCGGGUUGUAAACCGCUUUUGUUCGGGAAGAAAUCCUCUGGGCUAAUACCCCGGGGGGAUGACGGUACCGGAAGAAUAAGCACCGGCUAACUACGUG
rnacentral:rRNA from 1 species